AGAACACAGUGAAAUGUGAUAAGUAAUGUGAAUCGCAGAAUUCAGUGAAUCAUCAAAUUUUUGAACGCACCUUGCACCUUUUGGUAUUCCAAAAGGUACACCUGUUUGAGUGUCAU
rnacentral:rRNA from 1 species